CUCAAGCUUCAUUUGGAACACCAAAAAGAAGAAGAAGAAAACUGGAAACCAAUUUCCCGUAACGGAAUUUCUCCAAGACAACUACCGUAAAGUAGAGGAAGCAGUGGUAGGUCCUGGAGGCGGUAUAGGAAUAGGAUGCGGCAUUGGGGCGGGUUUCGGUUUGGUUGGCGCAUUCGGUUACGGUGGCUGGCCGUGGAACCAUUUUAAGCUUGUAUUUGGAGUCGGAAUGGGCUGUGGAAUUGGACUCGGGUUUGGGUAUGGAGGUGGAGUUGGAUAUGGUGUUAGUUUAGAUUCUUUGAAUUCUCAAAUGUCAAAUGAUAGGAAGUCGGAUUCUAACAAGAAGGGAAUUUUAUUUGGCAUUUGAUUAUCCAAUCAGUGAGCAGCAACAGAUUCACUGCUAUUUCUGAUGUCAUUCCACAUUUUCGGUUGCCAAUUCCCAUAAAAAUGUGGAUUCAAUGGAAGCAUAUGAGGAUAACCUAGAGAACCAUCUUGGAAAUAGCUUGGUACUUGAAUAUCAAUUGGCAUUACAUCAAGAAUGUUAGAUUGUUGUUGCCCACUUGAAUAUCCAUGGCUUCUGUGGUCUUGAGCCUCAAGAAAAAAUGACCUUUCCAUAUGAUUCGUGUCUGUUUCUUUCAUCAUUUUGAUUCUGUCAUCUGCAGAUUUCAGUUUAGCAUCCAAUUCACAGAUGAGUUGUUUCAAUUCAUCCUCAGAGUAAUUAUUGAUGCGAUCAUUCCAUGGAGGAUACUUAGUCACAGAUAUUUGUUUCCGCAAAUCUGUAAGUUGAGCAUUAACCUUCUUCAGCUUGUUCUUGGAAUGGUCAGAGAUCUGACAGUGUCUUUUUUCCUGCACUUUCUGUUUGUAUUUCUUGAUUAUGUGCUUAACCUUAAGAGGAUCAGCAGGCCAGGUUUCUGGUUUCACUUGUUUGUUGUCACCUUGUUUUGGAUCGAAGAUGAUAAUGCACAAGUCAAUACCACAUAGAGUUGCUAAUUCAUAGCCUUUUUUGAACAAGCUUUUCUUUCUCUUUCGAAAUGAAAUCUUUAAAGCUCUCUCCUUCUUGAUCA